AACAGACUGCAAAGAAUAUGGGAGAGACGGGAGAUCAGCUAAGGCCCUGUUACGUUUCCUUGUCCCAGACUUACAAGGGACAACAAGCAGUACAGUCUGGCUAUCAAGUAUUUCAAGGAAGAGCUCAAGUUGAAUAGCAACAAUCCAGUUGAAGCAUGCAAGACGACUCUGAACAUAGCGGAAGUGUUAGAGAUCAAGGAGGCGGAUGUGGAAGAGAUACUGGAGGUGUACCGACAGGCCCUCAGCCUGGCUCAGACCGCCAAGGAUCACAGACUGGAGGCCAGAGCUCUGUCCUCCUUGGUGCAGGUGCUUCGAGACAACAAUCGGCUCUCUGACUCCAGAAAAUUGGAAGUUGAGUUGGAGAACCUAAGAGAAAAGUUUGGCCCUCUUUCAUCAGACUCUGAGGGUGAUGAAGAGGACGAGAAUACUCCAGAUAUUGGGGCUGAUAUUUGUAUUGAAGAA